AGUGAACGCUGGCGGUAGGCCUAACACAUGCAAGUCGAACGGCAGCACAGUAAGAGCUUGCUCUUACGGGUGGCGAGUGGCGGACGGGUGAGGAAUACAUCGGAAUCUACUUUUUCGUGGGGGAUAACGUAGGGAAACUUACGCUAAUACCGCAUACGACCUACGGGUGAAAGCAGGGGAUCUUCGGACCUUGCGCGAUUGAAUGAGCCGAUGUCGGAUUAGCUAGUUGGCGGGGUAAAGGCCCAGCAAGGCGACGAUCCGUAGCUGGUCUGAGAGGAUGAUCAGCCACACUGGAACUGAGACACGGUCCAGACUCCUACGGGAGGCAGCAGUGGGGAAUAUUGGACAAUGGGCGCAAGCCUGAUCCAGCCAUACCGCGUGGGUGAAGAAGGCCUUCGGGUUGUAAAGCCCUUUUGUUGGGAAAGAAAAGCAGCAGGUUAAUACCCCGCUGUUCUGACGGUACCCAAAGAAUAAGCACCGGCUAACUUCGUG
rnacentral:rRNA from 1 species